AUUGAACGCUGGCGGCAGGCCUAACACAUGCAAGUCGAACGGAAGAAGAGUGCUUGCUUGUGGUUUCAGCGGGGGACGGGCGAGCGAUGCAUGGGAAUCUCCCUGGCUGUGGUUGAUAACGUCCGGACGCGGGCGCUACUACCGCAUACGUCCAGAGGGCGCACGUGGGGGAUCUUCGGACCUUACGCCCUCACGCGAGCCUAGGUCGGAUUAGCUAGUUGGGGGGGUAACGGGCUACCAAGGCGACGAUCCGUAACUGGUCUGAGAGGAUGAUCAGUCACACUGGAACUGAGACACGGUCCAGACUCCUACGGGAGGCAGCAGUGGGGAAUAUUGGACAAUGGGCGAAAGCCUGAUCCAGCCAUGCCGCGUGUGUGAAGAAGGUCUUCGGGUUGUAAAGCACUUUUGGUGGGGAGGAAGGGCAGUAGGUUAAUACCUUGCUGUUUUGACGGUACCAACAGAAUAAGCACCGGCUAACUUCGUG
rnacentral:rRNA from 1 species